CCAAUAGCGUAUAUUAAAGUUGUUGCAGUUAAAAAGCUCGUAGUUGAAUUUCGGGGUCAGUAGAUUGGUCGUGCCACUGGUACGUACUGGUCUUACUGAUUCCUCCCUCCUGAUGAACUGUAAUGCCAUUAAUUUGGUGUUGCAGGGAAUCUGGACUGUUACUUUGAAAAAAUUAGAGUGUUUAAAGCAGGCUAACGCUUGAAUACAUUAGCAUGGAAUAAUGAAAUAGGACGCUCGAUCCUAUUUUGUUGGUUUCUAGGAUUGACGUAAUGAUUAAUAGGGAUAGUUGGGGGCAUUAGUAUUCAAUUGUCAGAGGUGAAAUUCUUGGAUUUAUUGAAGACUAACUACUGCGAAAGCAUUUGCCAAGGAUGUUUUCAUUAAUCAAGAACGAAAGUUAGGGGAUCGAAGACGAUCAGAUACCGUCGUAGUCUUAACCAUAAACUAUGCCGACUAGGGAUCGGAUGAUGUUAAUUUUUUAAUGACUCAUUCGGCGCCUUAC
rnacentral:rRNA from 1 species